rnacentral:sRNA from 1 species
UUGGAGCGAACUGCCGCUCCAGCAUUGCGGC